AAUGGUUAAAUUACUUUAUUUACCAAAUUUUAUAACAUUUAACAGCAAUUUUAAACAAAUCCACUAACAAAGUUAUAGCAACACAACAAUAAGUACUAUAAAAAUCUUUUAACAAUUUAAAAUACAAUAAUUACUCGUCAUAUCUUGACGAGUAAGCAAGUUAUCGUAAGCCCCCGGAUGACCCGGUUCUAGGACCUAUGAUCACCUAGGUACUACUAAUGGAGGCUUUGACAAUCGAACUGGAAAUACUUACAAAUUCUUUAUUGCAGUAACUAAUAAUACAUUGCAGUACCUGUUUAUAGUUCGUUUUUUUAGCAUUAGAAAGAACUCCACAGAAGCAAGCGUGCAGGUUUUAUAAGGCUCUUUAAUUGUUAAUAAUUAUUGAAUUAUCUAAUGUAGCAUGGUCAAUACACAUAAUUUACUUCAAAUUAUUACC